rnacentral:rRNA from 1 species
GUAGGGGGCAAGCGUUAUCCGGAUUUACUGGGUGUAAAGGGAGCGUAGACGGCCGUGCAAGUCUGAUGUGAAAGGCUGGGGCUCAACCCCGGGACUGCAUUGGAAACUGUAUGGCUGGAGUGCCGGAGAGGUAAGCGGAAUUCCUAGUGUAGCGGUGAAAUGCGUAGAUAUUAGGAGGAACACCAGUGGCGAAGGCGGCUUACUGGACGGUAACUGACGUUGAGGCUCGAAAGCGUGGGGAGCAAACAGGAUUAGAUACCCUGGUAGUCCACGCCGUAAACGAUGACUACUAGGUGUCGGGUAGCAAAGCUAUUCGGUGCCGCAGCAAACGCAAUAAGUAGUCCACCUGGGGAGU